UGCGGGCGGCCAGGCUGGCGGCGCCGAGACCCCUGCGCGCUGCACAUGGGGCGCCUGACGGAGGCGGCGGCAGCGGGCGGCGGCGCUUCAGCGGCGCGCUCGGCCGGGCCCCCUCCCGCUCCCCUGCCCCUCUCGUCCACGUCCCCCGGCUGCGCGGCCACCAUGGCGUCCAGCGAGGAGGACGGCACCAACGGCGGCGCCUCGGAGGCCGGCGAGGAGAGGGAGGCCGCGGGCAAGAGGAGGCGCCGGGGCUUGCUGGCCACCUCCUGGCUCACCUUCUACAACAUCGCCAUGACCGCGGGGUGGCUGGUACUAGCUAUUGCCAUGGUACGUUUUUAUAUGGAAAAAGGAACACACAAAGGUUUAUAUAAAAGUAUUCAGAAGACACUUAAAGUUUUCCAGACAUUUGCCUUGCUUGAGGUAGUCCACUGUUUAAUUGGAAUUGUCCCAACUUCUGUGCUUGUGGCUGGGGUCCAAGUGAGUUCAAGAAUCUUUAUGGUGUGGUUCGUUACUCACAGUAUAAAACCAAUCCAGAAUGAGGAGAGCGUGGUGCUUUUUCUGGUCGUGUGGACGGUGACGGAGAUCACUCGCUAUUCCUUCUACACAUUCAGUCUUCUCGACCACUUGCCAUACUUCAUUAAAUGGGCCAGAUAUAAUUUUUUUAUCAUCUUAUAUCCUGUUGGAGUUGCUGGUGAACUUCUUACAAUAUACGCUGCCUUACCAUAUGUGAAGAAAACAGGAAUGUUCUCAAUAAGACUUCCCAAUAAAUACAAUGUCUCUUUUGACUACUAUUAUUUUCUUCUUAUAACCAUGGCCUCGUAUAUACCAUUGUUUCCACAACUCUACUUUCAUAUGUUACGUCAGAGAAGAAAGGUGCUUCAUGGAGAGGUGAUUGUCGAAAAGGAUGAUUAAAUGAUCCCUACAACAAGCUAGAUGACCACGUUGGUCAGAGUUGACUGAAGGCAUAUGGUCCAGCUGUUAUGGUUUCAGAUGAGUCAAGUUCACUGGUUUUGGAGGGAACAUUGCAGCUUCUACUGGCUGUUCAGAAAGGUCAAAAUUCAAACAAUACAGAAGGACCUAGAGUAAAAAAGUGGAGUGGUCAGUAGACAAAUGCAGCAGGAAUUUCAGUAAGGCGAGAAUGGGAAGUGUCUAUCGUGUUUCCCAAUGAUUUGUUAAAUUAUGAACUUUACCGGAACAGAUUUGUGGGUAUGUGAGUGCCUGAAGGAAGACUGCGUGCAGUGAAUUGAAAUGUGGAUGAGAAGCAUUUUUAUUGUAUGUUACUGAGUGAAGAAACCACCCCAGGACUUCCCUGGCAGUCCAGUGGUUAGGACUCAGCACCUUCACUGCCGAGGGCCCGGGUUCAAUCCCUGGUCAGGGAACUGAGAUCCAGCAAGCCUUGCAGCGUGGCCAAAAAAGAAAAAAAAAAAGAAACCACCCAAAUCGUAGUGGCUUAAAACAAGUCAUUGUACUCUCCCACCGGCCUCUGAGUUGACUGGGCUCAGCUGGGCAGUUCCUUUGCUCCAUGUGAUGUCAGCCGAGGCUGGAGUCACCUGGGGACUCAACUGGGUCAGAGCAUCCAUGAUGACUUGCACACGUGGCUGUCACCUGGGAGCUGAGCUGGGGCUCUUAACUGGCUUUCCUGGGUACGGACUUUCUGUCUGGCCUUGGCUUCUCCAGGGUAGCUGGGUGCAGAGAGGCUGCACACCCAGAGCAAGGAGGGGAAGCUGUCUUCAUAAAGGUGAGACUGAGAACUGGUCCAGCAUCACUUGCAGCCCAUCCUGUUGUUCAGGCAGACCUAGGGCCAGCCCAGAGUCAAGGGGAGGGGACAUGAAGCCACCUCCUAAUGGGGAGAGUGACAAAUCAUUUAUGUCCAUCUUUAAGCAGUCACAGGAAGCCUUUGCCAGAAAUUAAUUACAACUGAAAUGUCCCCUGCACAAAUCAUAUUAAAAAAAAAGUCCUGAGAGAAUUACAAAUUUAUUUGAAGAAAAUUUUAAGAUUAUGACUAACAAAAAAUCUGCAUGCCCUACCCCCUGUGGAACAAGGAUGAAUGUAACAGGCAACUUAGUCCAAAGUGGUUGGAUAGCUUGAAAAAUUGUGUUUAGUGAGUUUUGCUUUGGAAUAAUGCCCUCUGCUUACCUUGACGGAAACAAUAAACCAUCACAGGCAAUCUGCUUGUGCACUUCUCUCAGAGUAUGGAUAAUAUCCUCUACAUUACCUAUGUGAAGAGCAUUAAAUAUUUUUUUCCAAAUCCUAGUGCUAGGAAAUCUUUACUUUCUGUGAAGAACUGAUACGAUUGUUUCUUAUAGUCAAUGCAAAACUGAUUAUAAAGAACAUCCGAAAAAUUUACAGGUCAAAUGUAAUAAUACUCUAGUGUACGACCUGCAUAAAUUUAUGUUAACUACACCUUAGUGGUGAUUUUCUAUACUAGCUAGAUGUUCCAUGAGGUGAAUUGCUAUCUAUUUCUACUUUUCCAGUUUAAUGUAUGGUCCUUAUAAAUCUUCUAAAAUCUUUUGUAAAAUAAAACAGAGUACAUGAAUGAAUAAAGGAAACAACGACAAAAACAUUGUUAGACGGAUAGAGGUAAGACAUCUUAAAUUUAUACCCUAAUGACUGAAAGCCAGAGUUUGUUUAGUAGGAAGGCUAGAGCAGAAGAACAUUCUCUAAGCAUCUGAAGAAAUCUCAGAGGAAUUAGAAAGGGGAUGCUGGAGGUCCCAAAGGUACUUCAUCUCUCAAAAACUCUUGGUUAUAGCUACCCUGUUCUUUAAAUUGAGAAAAAGAGGGAUUUUCUUAAUCCAAUACCUAGUACCUACAAAGAGCCUACAGCAGACAUCAUACUGAAGGGUGAUCUAGUGAAUGUUUUCCUUCUUGUAACAGGACACGUAUGUCCACUAUUACAUUUUCAAUUCAGCUUUGUUCUGGAGGUCCUCCCUAGUAGAAUAAGGGGAGUAAAAGUAUGAGGAAGGAGGAAACAAAGCUGUCAUUCUUCACCGAUGAUACAGCAGAAAUUAAGGCAGCCUAUGAAGUAUUCCUGGUUAUCAGGAACAGAGGAGAAUGAGAGCUGGGAAAAAGAUUGCAGAACUAAAAAUGUAAGUGACAAAACAAAAGGUGACAUACUGGCUUGUAAUGGAGACUUGUAGUCAUCCCCCAAAUCUGUUCUCUUUCAUGGUCAUUGAACCCUUGAGUUACAACUUGCCACUGAGAAUAAGGAUAUGUCCCAGGGUCUCUUACAGCGCGGUGCGCCUGUGUGACUAAGUUCUAGCCACACUAGCAUGUGAGGAGAAGUGACACAUGGGCUUCCGGUAAGCAUGCUCUUACUGGAAUGUGGAUGCGGUGGCGGCCGUCCGUUUUGGAGCGUGAUGCAUCUUGGAACUCGCUAGGACUAGCAGAGCAAUAGGAAAAAGGAACAUGGAUCUCUGCCAUCGUGGAGCAGCCAUAGGGCCGCUGGAUACAACUGUGCGGUUGGACAUGACAUUAGUGGGUACACAUCGCAGAGACCACAGUGUGAAUGUGACCCCAUAGAGUGGUGCAACAGACAUCAGGAAAAAUGAGCAUCCUGCAUAACCAUACACAGUAUCCCAGCGUCACCUGCCCCAGGUAGGGCUACCCCCGAGGAGUAAGUCUUGGGAAGCUUACACCUGGACUAUUUCAAAUACUGUUGCUUUGGAUCUCUGCUACAGCUGCUGAACCUCCGUUACAGUUCAUACAAGAUUCUAAAUCGGGAAUAGGGUGUAGUGUCCAUUAGCAAAGAAAGGAAGUCAAACAGAGUAGUAGCCAAGGGGCAAGAUGAAUUUCACAUUUGUUGAGUGAAUGCUCUGUGCAAAGAUCUAUGGUAAGAGCUGGUGGAAGAUACAUGAAGGACAGUUCCUGCCCUCCAGGAACUUAAAGUCUAGUGAGGAAAAACCCAUCUAUAAACUUCAAUGACUUUCGGGAAUAUAACCCUCAAGGAAUUUAUAAUCUAGUGAAGAAAAAUAUAUUUAUACCAGUAAUUUUAAUACACGGGAGUGAAGUGCGGCUCCGAGGGCAGCAAUCGAGUAGGAAAAGACAUUUAUACCAAUAAUAUUAAGUGGGUACUGGAGGCAUCCCUGAUGUUAAGCAGAGUAUAACUAGCUAGCCCCAAGUUUCCAAAUCACAAGGUUCACCAGUUUUCCCUUCAGAUAGCCUUAAGUUAUGAGACACAGUACUAAUUUUUCUAUUUCAGUGCCCUAAGACAUCUGGCUUUCUGCAGCAUGUAAGCAGUUUGCCUAGUGUAUUUUAAAGAAUACUUCUUAGUAAAAGAAAGAGGAAAAAAAUCAAUAUUUUUUUUAAUUUGCACACAGAGAUGAAAACAUGGUUGGCCUCAAAGGAAAAAAACAUCUAAUUUAUUUUACAGUGGUUUCUAAAUGUUACUCCAGAGAGGCUUAUAUUUAUGGAGAGUAUCAAUAUGACCUUUAAGAAACUUACAUUAUUUUGGUGGUGUUGUUCUAAACAGACUAUGAUA